GACGAACGCUGGCGGCGUGCCUAAUACAUGCAAGUAGAACGCUGAAGGAGGAGCUUACUUCUCUGGAUGAGUUGCGAACGGGUGAGUAACUCGUAGGUAACCUGCCUGGUAGCGGGGGAUAACUAUUGGAAACGAUAGCUAAUACCGCAUAAGAGUAGAUGUUGCAUGACAUUUACUUAAAAGGUGCAAUUGCACCACUACCAGAUGGACCUGCGUUGUAUUAGCUAGUUGGUGGGGUAACGGCGUACCAAGGCGACGAUACAUAGCCGACCUGGUAGGGUGAGCGGCCACACUGGAACUGAGACACGGCCCAGACGCCUACGGGCGGCAGCAGUAGGGAAUCUUCGGCAAUGGACGGAAGUCUGACCGAGCAACGCCGCGUGAGUGAAGAAGGUUUUCGGAUCGUAAAGCUCUGUUGUAAGAGAAGAACGAGUGUGAGAGUGGAAAGUUCACACUGUGACGGUAUCUUACCAGAAAGGGACGGCUAACUACGUGCCAGCCGCCGCAGUAA
rnacentral:rRNA from 1 species